rnacentral:lncRNA from 1 species
UGCGUGCUCUCCACCCAGGUGUCUGCCCGGGAGCCCCCUCCCCAGAGCCUCUUCCCGACGCCCUCAUAUAAUUACCAGUGUCACCACUCUCUGUUCCUCACCUCUUCGUUUUUCCGGGUAGCACACGUUAUCCCAACACUACUGCAUACGUACUUGUUUUAUUUACCCUCCUCCCCAGCAUAUAACCUCCCUGAGGGUAAGAACUUCUCUGUCAUGUUCGCUAUGCGACAUCCCCGAGUCUAAAAUGAUGUCUAGAACAUUGCAGGGACUCAAUAAAUAUUUGCUGCUUAAAUGCCUAGAUGCACCGAUUCACUUGUGAACUGGAUUAAUCAACUCAUAAACAAAUAUUCAUAUUACUUUCUUUUUCCCUGUGUCUUCAUGGCUCCUGGCUACUUUGCAGAACUGCAUCAUUUGGUCAAGGUGAGAGGCCACAAACAGAGAGAAGCAGUCACCAGUAACCAGGAGCCGGUAUCAGUGAAGAAACAGCCUGUGUCCUUCUCAUUAGAUCUUCUUAGGAGCACGGCUGUCCCCCACAUACCCCUUUAAGGUCCUGCAGGGAAAUGGCCAGUAUAAUUUUUGAGGAGCAACUACUCAGAAGAUAUUGAGGACAAAACUUGGCAUCAUUUAAAUGGCAUUAAGUUGGUAAAAGAAAUCAAAUUGACCUUGAAAAACUGGGUGUCUUCCAAAAAUCUGAAUGACAUGAAUUAGGGAUAAGGAGAAAAUUCCACAAAACCUAGGAAUAAAAAUGAGCAGGAAGCUACCAUUUUAAAAGCUCUCUGACUAAAAGUACUAAGAAAUUUAAUAUAUUAUCAUUCAAUUUAAGCAUUAUUAAAAAUACUUGAUUGUAUUAACAAGCAUAAUAAUGGUUAUAGGUAUAGUAGUAUAAGUAUGCAUACUUAUCAGACCAACUGAUUCCAAGUGAAAUCAAACAUCUCCACAUCAUGUUAGGUACAUAUAUUUCCAUCAAUUUUUAAUAUUUUUUGUAUUUUAACAUUUUAAACAUCAAUGCAAAUUUAUAAAAAGAAGUUCUUUAAGAUAUUUUUUAGUGGAAUUCCUGGUGUGGCACAACAGGAUCAGCAGCAUCUCUGCUGCGCCAGGACGCAGGUUCGAUGCCCAGCCCAGGACUGUACGUUAAGGAUCCGGCACUGCCAAAGCUGUGCCAUAGGUCACAACUGCGGCUGGGAUCUGACCCCUGGCCCAGGAACUCCACAUGGCAAGGGGCAGCCAAAAAAAGAAAAAAUAAAACUCUGUUAGCUAAAAUGUGCAGAAGAUCAUGUUUGAUUCACCUAUGCACCCCAAGACCUACCAGCGAUUGGAACAUGCUAGGAAUUAAAUGUUUAUAUGAUAUAUGAUUAGUUGAAUGGAAGACCCACACUCCUCCACAGCCCGAGAGAAAGAAAUAAUGAGAGCCACUCUAAGUGUAAAACACUGAACUAUUACUAUAUAUUGUUUUAGGGCCGCACCUGUAGCAUAUGGAAGGUCCCAGGCUAGGGGUUGAAUCAGAGCUAGAGCUGCUGGCCUACACCACAGGCACAGCAACCCGGGAACUGAGCCACAUCUGCAACCUACACCACAGCAACACCCUGGAUCCUUAACCCAUUGAGCAAGGCCAGGGAUCAAACCCACGUCCUCAUGGAUACUAGUCAGAUUCAUUUCCACUGCACUACAACGGGAAUUCCUGAACUAUUUCUAGAAUGACUGUCACAGAAAAACUAAUUAUGUAUGUUAUUUCACAGACAAUAUUUACAGACCUACAUAAAAACAGCCACUUUUUUUAAACAUUUACAUAUUCUGGAUAAAAAAAAUCACAUAUAUAAUGUAUAUAUGUUACUCUACAAUUAACUACUGACUAGAAGAAAAUCAACUGCUCUUUAAUCAUGCAAACAGUUUGCUAAAAUUAUGUGGCAUAUCAGAUGAACUGCCAGAGAAAAAACACAAACUUUCCUUGUUUAGCCUAGUCCUCAAUAGGCAGCAUUGUUCACUUGUCAAGUCAUUACCAGGAGGUCAUAAAACUUGAGGCUCCUCAGAUGUAAUGGAAAAAGCAGACCUAAACUACAAAACCUAGGGACAAAUGGCAACAGUACUCACAACAAGACUGCUCCUGCCACAGGAGCUGUGCCCUCUCUAAUACGUGCUUAACUGGGAGGUACAUUCCCCCACACGCCCUCUCAGCUUCUGCUUUCACUGCAGGACAAGCGUCAAGAGCUCUGACGUCAUCUGAACUUUCCUUUGGUUUCACGUCACAAGUUUCAGGAACACUAUUUUCUAUCUUGCAAUUUUCCACUUGGCAAAAGUGAGUCUUCUGUGCAGCUGAAUCUUAGAAACAGUCAACAGAGCCGCCCAUUCCUUCCAUGGACGUUCACCGAGCAUCUCCUCCACGCCUGACACUCUGCACUGCACUUCCGGACUCUGCCAGAGUAUGUCUGUGAGUGGGUAUGUGGGCAAAAGUACACCACAGGUUGUGGCAGAGUCCAACACAACACAGAUAACUUACCACAGCGGCAGAUCUGGAGUGUCCGUGGUGGCUCAGAGGAAACAAACCAGACUAGUACCAAUGAGGACACGGGUUCAAUCCCUGGCCUUGCUCAGUGGGUUAAGGAUGCGGCAUGGCCAUGAGCUGUGGUGCAGUGAGCGAGGCCAGGGAUCAAACCUGCAUCCUCAUGAGUACCAGUCGGAUUCCUUUAUGCUGCACCACAACAGGAACUCCAAAACUGAGUGGUUUUGAGUAUUAUUACUUUUUUUCCUUUGAAAGAACGAAUUCUAAUUUAACAUUAAAAUUUAAAACAAGAUCUUUUUUUUUCUUUUUUCUUUUUUGGCCUCCUCUCAGCAUAUGGAGUUCCCAGACCAGGGACCAGAUCUGAGCCGCAGUUGCGACCUACACUGCAAAUCCUUAACCCACUGUGCUGGGCCGGGAUUCAAACCCACAUCCCAGUGCUCCCAAGAUGCCACCAAUCCCAUUGUGCCACAGCAGGAACUCC